AUUAGCUUGCUUUUGAAGAUCAGCGGCGGACGGGUGAGUAACACGUGGGCAACCUGCCUGUAAGACUGGGAUAACUUCGGGAAACCGGAGCUAAUACCGGAUAAUCCAUUCCCUCACAUGAGGGAAUGCUGAAAGACGGUUUCGGCUGUCACUUACAGAUGGGCCCGCGGCGCAUUAGCUAGUUGGUGAGGUAACGGCUCACCAAGGCAACGAUGCGUAGCCGACCUGAGAGGGUGAUCGGCCACACUGGGACUGAGACACGGCCCAGACUCCUACGGGAGGCAGCAGUAGGGAAUCUUCCGCAAUGGACGAAAGUCUGACGGAGCAACGCCGCGUGAACGAUGAAGGCUUUCGGGUCGUAAAGUUCUGUUGUCAGGGAAGAACAAGUACCGGAGUAACUGCCGGUACCUUGACGGUACCUGACCAGAAAGCCACGGCUAACUACGUGCCAGCAGCCGCGGUAAUACGUAGGUGGCAAGCGUUGUCCGGAAUUAUGGGGCGUAAAGCGCGCGCAGGCGGUUCCUUAAGUCUGAUGUGAAAGCCCCCGGCUCAACCGGGGAGGGUCAUUGGAAACUGGGGAACUUGAGUGCAGAAGAGGAGAGCGGAAUUCCACGUGUAGCGGUGAAAUGCGUAGAGAUGUGGAGGAACACCAGUGGCGAAGGCGGCUCUCUGGUCUGUAACUGACGCUGAGGCGCGAAAGCGUGGGGAGCGAACAGGAUUAGAUACCCUGGUAGUCCACGCCGUAAACGAUGAGUGCUAAGUGUUAGAGGGUUUCCGCCCUUUAGUGCUGCAGCAAACGCAUUAAGCACUCCGCCUGGGGAGUACGGCCGCAAGGCUGAAACUCAAAGGAAUUGACGGGGGCCCGCA
rnacentral:rRNA from 1 species